UUACUUUACUCUUCUUGUGAUAAUUAGUUGAAACAAGUACUCAAAACAUAUUAGCAUUGUCUUCUUUUCUUUAACAUAGCGGACCUAAGGACAAAGUGAGUCACACACCCAUCUUCUUAAAACCAAUGGGACUAGGCCCAGCUCCAGGCUUCCCACAAUGAGGUGCAUCAUCUCUACUAUUCAUCAAGGCCAGCCAAAUACGGAAGCGCCUGGAGAGGCACAGCAGUUUUAAAGGGACAGCAUCUGAGACAAGAGAGCUGUGAAAUCUAAUCAGCACAGUUCCCAAGCACAGCAGAGAGCCAGCAGGAAGCACGGUCCCCAGAGAAGCCGGCGGCAUCACCCUGACUGCACCAGCCUAAGCAUCACGCACAUGCCCCGGCCUUCGGUGGCGUGGGCACACGGACUCAGCUGACGGUGGCCCCUGUGUCGGCACCGAAGGUCUUGGCAGCAGGGAGCAGUCUUCGUGAUCUACCCUCCGAGGCCGCCCACGAGGUCAGGGCCGGGUGCUGGUUACCGCUUACCCCUAACUGUACAUAACGACCGUUGUGUGAGGGUGCUCACCUGGACCCAGAAACCCAGCUCUUUGAGAGCUUGUCUUUUUCUCCUGCAUCAUUCAUUCUUCAACAUUCUCUACCCAGCAGUGGAGGCACAUGCCUCUUUUUCUCUCUCAGACAUUGAAGACAGUAAAACACAUCAAUAACCUC